GAAAACUAAUUAAAAAUUAAAACCAAGGUGCCAAAGUUGUUACCUUUGCUAAUUGUAAUUGGCAUUGAUUACCCUCUUCUGAUUUUGAGGCUCUUUCUUUGACGUUUCCUCAAAUAUUCACUCUUUUAAAGGCCCAGAUUCGAUUCCUGUGAAGACAUCGGGUAUCAAGUUAUCAAAUGGUGCUACUUAGAUUCUAAUUUGUGAGAGUCUUAAUCAAGUUUCAAUGGUACUGGCCCCUCACGAAUCUCCAAUCCUAUCCUAUCAUUCACCAAAAAACAGAUAGGAUUACUUUUUCUGAGUGCUGCCUAGUUAGGAUUGCUUACCUUAUUUGUUUAUUGAAAUUUGAAGGUAAAAAAAAAAAAAAGUAGUUCCACAUUGCAACUGGUUGGUAAUUAACGAACUUUUUUAUUUUUUAUUUUCUUCAAACUUUGCAAAAUGGCUGAGGUUGGAGAUUAUAUAUUUGCAUUGUAGAGUGUCUUUAAACAUUUUGUUGAGGUUUUGUGGGUUUAGCUGUUACCACAUUAAAGAAUAUCUUAUCCUAGUUAGCUGCUGAUAUCCCUUCACAUGAACAUUUGUUUGGGAACUUUGCCUUGUUUGAUCUGAAGUGCUUUCAUGAUACCAUUUCCUUUUUUAAUAAAAUGUCUGGCACAAUGCCAGAUAUCCAUGAAAGAUAAUUGGAGAAUCAGACUUCAUGUAAACCAAAUGACAAUGUUGUGUAAAGACAACAAUAUUACUAACUAGUCUAAGAGGGGAGGAAUAUUGUUGUGCAUUA